GACGAACGCUGGCGGCGUGCUUAACACAUGCAAGUCGAACGGAAAGGCCCUGCUUUUGUGGGGUGCUCGAGUGGCGAACGGGUGAGUAACACGUGAGUAACCUGCCCUUGACUUUGGGAUAACUUCAGGAAACUGGGGCUAAUACCGGAUAGCAUCUCCUGCUGCAUGGUGGGGGUUGGAAAGUUUCGGCUGUUGGGGCUGGACUGGCGGCUUAUCAGCUUGUUGGUGGGGUAGUGGCUGACCAAGGCUUUGACGGGUAGCCGGCCUGGGAGGGUGACCGGGCACAUUGGGCCUGAGAUACGGCCCAGACUCCUACGGGAGGCAGCAGGGGGGAAUAUGGCACAAUGGGCGGAAGUCUGAUGCAGCAACGCCGCGUGCGUGAUGACGGCCUUUGGGGUGUAAACAGCUGUCGCCUGUGACGAAGCGUGAGUGACGGUAAUGGGUAAAGAAGCACCGGCUAACUACGUG
rnacentral:rRNA from 1 species